rnacentral:rRNA from 1 species
AUAAGUAAUGUGAAUUGCAGAUUUCAGUGAAUCAUCGAAUCUUUGAACGCACCUUGCGCCUUGUGGUAUUCCAGAAGGCAUGCCCGUUUGAGUGUCAUUAAUUCAUCAACUUCAAAAUUCUUUUGAACUUUCGAGGCUUGGUCUUGAGGGUUUGCG